rnacentral:rRNA from 1 species
UACGGAGGGUGCAAGCGUUACCCGGAUUCACUGGGUUUAAAGGGUGCGUAGGCGGGCAGGUAAGUCCGUGGUGAAAUCUCCAAGCUUAACUUGGAAACUGCCGUGGAUACUAUUUGUCUUGAAUAUAGUGGAGGUGAGCGGAAUAUGUCAUGUAGCGGUGAAAUGCUUAGAUAUGACAUAGAACACCCAUUGCGAAGGCAGCUCGCUACACUAUUAUUGACGCUGAGGCACGAAAGCGUGGGGAUCAAACAGG